rnacentral:rRNA from 1 species
GAUGAACGCUGGCGGCGUGCUUAACACAUGCAAGUCGAACGGUGAAGCCAAGCUUGCUUGGUGGAUCAGUGGCGAACGGGUGAGUAACACGUGAGCAACCUGCCCUGGACUCUGGGAUAAGCGCUGGAAACGGCGUCUAAUACUGGAUAUGAGACGUGAUCGCAUGGUCAACGUUUGGAAAGAUUUUUCGGUCUGGGAUGGGCUCGCGGCCUAUCAGCUUGUUGGUGAGGUAAUGGCUCACCAAGGCGUCGACGGGUAGCCGGCCUGAGAGGGUGACCGGCCACACUGGGACUGAGACACGGCCCAGACUCCUACGGGAGGCAGCAGUGGGGAAUAUUGCACAAUGGGCGGAAGCCUGAUGCAGCAACGCCGCGUGAGGGAUGACGGCCUUCGGGUUGUAAACCUCUUUUAGCAGGGAAGAAGCGAAAGUGACGGUACCUGCAGAAAAAGCGCCGGCUAACUACGUGCCAGCAGCCGCGGUAAUACGUAGGGCGCAAGCGUUAUCCGGAAUUAUUGGGCGUAAAGAGCUCGUAGGCGGUUUGUCGCGUCUGCUGUGAAAUCCCGAGGCUCAACCUCGGACCUGCAGUGGGUACGGGCAGACUAGAGUGCGGUAGGGGAGAUUGGAAUUCCUGGUGUAGCGGUGGAAUGCGCAGAUAUCAGGAGGAACACCGAUGGCGAAGGCAGAUCUCUGGGCCGUAACUGACGCUGAGGAGCGAAAGGGUGGGGAGCAAACAGGCUUAGAUACCCUGGUAGUCCACCCCGUAAACGUUGGGAACUAGUUGUGGGGACCAUUCCACGGUUUCCGUGACGCAGCUAACGCAUUAAGUUCCCCGCCUGGGGAGUACGGCCGCAAGGCUAAAACUCAAAGGAAUUGACGGGGACCCGCACAAGCGGCGGAGCAUGCGGAUUAAUUCGAUGCAACGCGAAGAACCUUACCAAGGCUUGACAUACACCAGAACGGGCCAGAAAUGGUCAACUCUUUGGACACUGGUGAACAGGUGGUGCAUGGUUGUCGUCAGCUCGUGUCGUGAGAUGUUGGGUUAAGUCCCGCAACGAGCGCAACCCUCGUUCUAUGUUGCCAGCACGUAAUGGUGGGAACU